rnacentral:lncRNA from 1 species
ACGGGAGUGUCGAAUCAAGCGAAGCUCUUCAGGUUAGUUGUUCUAUUUGCUCCUUUCCCCCCUUUCCCUUUUUUUUGAUUUUCAGAUCCUCUUUGCUUAAACUCGAUCCCCACCUCAUAUUCAGCACGUCCACGAUAUGGAGGGCGAACUGCCUGAGCAGAUUAUCGAUCCGAAGUUCUGUGGCAUGGAUACCUCGUCUGUCCACAAAUGUUUAUCCAUGCUUAUCCUCGCAUCUCACCCAAUCUGCAGCACGUCCCCGGAUAGAAGAGAAACUCUCGCUAGAGUUCUUGAUCUGGACUGCUACGGGAUAGACAUCACAUCUAGCCCGUAAGGUUGAUGUCGUCCUAGCAGGUAUAGGGAGGAGAUUCCUGGAUGAGCGUAUUAAGUGUUUCUCCAUAGAUUCAUAUUUUCUUCCCCUUAUCAGACAUUUCGAUUUUUUACUUUGAAUCCACUCUGAUAGGUUGCGAUUCAAUAAUGGAAAAGGCCUACUUAGAUGUAAUGACAGAGAGAAGCAACAACGAGUUUGACAAUGAGCAGCUUGUGAACAAGUAGAAGAACACAAUAUUUCGCAAUAAAAUUAGGAUGUCAACGAGCAUCUUAUUCUUCAGUUGUUAUCUGUCCUGUCGUGUUGGCUCAUCUCCUGUUUACAUAGGAUUUAGUUUAACGGUUCAGAGUUGCUGUAUCAAUUUCCUAGAUCACAUUGUGUCAUUGAUAUCCUUACUGCAAAAAGAAAAACGUUGGCAUAAAUUUAUUUGUAUAUCAUGUUUUGACGCACUGGAAUAUGCAUAAUUUUUA